rnacentral:rRNA from 1 species
UACGUAGGUCCCGAGCGUUGUCCGGAUUUAUUGGGCGUAAAGCGAGCGCAGGUGGUUUAUUAAGUCUGGUGUAAAAGGCAGUGGCUCAACCAUUGUAUGCAUUGGAAACUGGUAGACUUGAGUGCAGGAGAGGAGAGUGGAAUUCCAUGUGUAGCGGUGAAAUGCGUAGAUAUAUGGAGGAACACCGGUGGCGAAAGCGGCUCUCUGGCCUGUAACUGACACUGAGGCUCGAAAACGUGGGGAGCAAACAGG